rnacentral:snRNA from 1 species
UAACUAUCUGCAACAUCUGUCACCAUAUUGAUCACCAAGGUUGACGUGGCUGCCAACCUGGCUGGCUAUGCAGGUGUACCCUUCCUCCCUCACUGCCCCAUGUAUAUCCUUCCCGAAGCUCUGUGCUUGGUUGAAGAGAACUACCUUCCCUGAUAAAAUGGUUAAGUGACA